GACGAACGCUGGCGGCGUGCCUAAUACAUGCAAGUCGAACGCUGAAGGAGGAGCUUGCUUCUCUGGAUGAGUUGCGAACGGGUGAGUAACGCGUAGGUAACCUGCCUGGUAGCGGGGGAUAACUAUUGGAAACGAUAGCUAAUACCGCAUAAUAGUAGAUGUUGCAUGACAUUUGCCUAAAAGGUGCAAUUGCAUCACUACCAGAUGGACCUGCGUUGUAUUAGCUAGUUGGUGGGGUAACGGCUCACCAAGGCGACGAUACAUAGCCGACCUGAGAGGGUGAUCGGCCACACUGGGACUGAGACACGGCCCAGACUCCUACGGGAGGCAGCAGUAGGGAAUCUUCGGCAAUGGACGGAAGUCUGACCGAGCAACGCCGCGUGAGUGAAGAAGGUUUUCGGAUCGUAAAGCUCUGUUGUAAGAGAAGAACGAGUGUGAGAGUGGAAAGUCCACACUGUGACGGUAUCUUACCAGAAAGGGACGGCUAACUACGUG
rnacentral:rRNA from 1 species